UACGUAGGGGGCAAGCGUUGUCCGGAUUUAUUGGGCGUAAAGCGCUCGCAGGUGGUUCGUCGCGUCGUGCGUGAAAGGCCCCGGCUCAACUGGGGAGGGUCGUGCGAUACGGGCGGACUGGAGGCCAGUAGGGGGAUGCGGAAUUCCGGGUGUAGUGGUGGAAUGCGUAGAGAUCCGGAGGAACACCAGCGGCGAAGGCGGCAUCCUGGACUGGUCCUGACACUCAGGAGCGAAAGCGUGGGGAGCGAUCCGG
rnacentral:rRNA from 1 species